UCCUAGCCCGGAUAGCAGUGGAAAUCCUUUUUUGUUUUUGUCAUUUCGACGAAAGGAGAAAUCUAAAACAAAAAAGAUUGAAACGGAUAGCCGGAAUAGCU
rnacentral:sRNA from 1 species